rnacentral:lncRNA from 10 species
UGAGACGGAGUCUCGGUCACCCAGGCUGGGCGUGCAGCGUUGCAAUCUCAGCUCAGUGCAACCUCUGCCUUCCGAGUUCAAGUGAUUCUCCUGCCUCAGCCUCCUGAGUAGCUGGGACUACAGGCAUGCACCACCAUACGCGGCUAAUUUUUGUAUUUUUAGUGGAGACAGGGUUUCGCCACGUUGGCCAGGCUGGUCUCGAACUCCUGACCUCAGGUGAUCCACCUGCCUUGGACUCCCAAAGUGCUAGGAUUACAGGUGUGAG